rnacentral:tRNA from 1 species
AAAAAAUUAGUUAAAAUUUAUAACAUUAGUUUGUCAAACUAAAAUUAUUUUUAUUUAAUUAAUAUUUUUUA